CACGUAGGGUGCGAGCGUUGUCCGGAAUUAUUGGGCGUAAAGAGCUCGUAGGCGGUGUGUCGCGUCGGCCGUGAAAACCUGCAGCUUAACUGUGGGCUUGCGGUCGAUACGGGCAUCACUGGAGUUCGGCAGGGGAGACUGGAAUUCCUGGUGUAGCGGUGAAAUGCGCAGAUAUCAGGAGGAACACCGGUGGCGAAGGCGGGUCUCUGGGCCGAUACUGACGCUGAGGGGCGAAAGCGUGGGGAGCGAACAGG
rnacentral:rRNA from 1 species